rnacentral:sRNA from 1 species
GAGUAAUAUUAUUCCUCAGUUUUAUAAAACUCUGAAGUGGCAUUUUUUUGUACGUCCUGUAUAAACAUGUAUAAUGGAACUAUUAUAGACAUGUUGGAGGAUGAACCUCAUUCAUUUCUUGUAAAUAAUGGUGAUGGUUUAGUGAUCUGAUAUUUUUGUCAUUGUAGCCUCUAUAUAAUGUAGGAACUAGUUGACUGCCCUUUGUUUGAUGAUUUCUACAUAUGCAUACAUUUGGGUUGAUUUUUUGUGUGUGUGUGACUUUUUUGAAUUUAAAAAUCUAUUUGUACUUUUUCUUAUUCUAAAACUAAUAAUGCGUUUAACUUUAAUGUUAAUGAUUUCUGUGUGUUUUUCAAGAGCACAAAAUUGUAAAGAAAGAUACUUCACAAUUAAAUUACAAAUUCU